rnacentral:rRNA from 1 species
UACGAAGGGGGCUAGCGUUGUUCGGAAUCACUGGGCGUAAAGCGCACGUAGGCGGAUUUUUAAGUCAGGGGUGAAAUCCCGGGGCUCAACCUCGGAACUGCCUUUGAUACUGGAGAUCUUGAGUCCGGAAGAGGUAAGUGGAACUGCGAGUGUAGAGGUGAAAUUCGUAGAUAUUCGGAAGAACACCAGUGGCGAAGGCGGCUCACUGGACUGGUAUUGACGCUGAGGUGCGAAAGCGUGGGGAGCAAACAGG